CUGUGCUUUACCACUAUUUUUGUAGCUGGAUCCUUUUACUCAGUUUUGCAGUUUUAUGGUUGUAUAGCAGAUGAGUUGAGCUAGAGCAUUUAAAGAGGAGGAUUCCGUUGUCAUGUAUAAAGUUGGUGAGCUUAACAUGCCUGUUGGGUUUCUAUUCUUUCACAAAGCUUUCAUAUUGAGCCGCAGGAGGCAAGCAGGAAGAAAUCAAACGCCCUGUUGAUGGACCAGCCGCAGGAGGCAAGCUUCCAGAUGACAUUGUGAUUGGGUUUCUAGUUACAUUCAUUAACUGUUUGUUCUAUUAACAAGGAAUAGAGGUUAGGGUGCUUUGCGAAAAAGCUAAGGAGGUUUUAAUGGAAGAAAGCAAUGUUCAGGCCAACUGUUCAAUCUGUUCAAAGCUCACAAAGAUCCUAGACAAAAUCCAAUUGCUUAUUCCUGUAAUAGAUUGAGAAAGACAAGCUACUUCUUCAGUAUUGUGGUAGUAAUUACUGUAGUGUUUUGUUCCGUUCUCA